AUACGGAGGGUGCGAGCGUUAAUCGGAAUUACUGGGCGUAAAGCGUACGUAGGCGGUUGGUUAAGUUAGAUGUGAAAGCCCCGGGCUUAACCUGGGAGCUGCAUUUAAAACUGGCGAACUAGAGUUGAGUAGAGGGGAGUGGAAUUUCAGGUGUAGCGGUGAAAUGCGUAGAGAUCUGAAGGAACACCAGUGGCUAAGGCGACUCCCUGGACUCGAACUGACGCUGAGGUACGAAAGCGUGGGUAGCAAACGGGAUUAGAUACCCCAGUAGUCC
rnacentral:rRNA from 1 species